AUUGAACGCUGGCGGCAGGCCUAACACAUGCAAGUCGAGCGAGCGGCGGACGGGUGAGUAAUGUAUGGGGACUGCCCGAUAGAGGGGGAUAACUACUGGAAACGGUGGCUAAUACCGCAUACUAUCGGAUAACCCAUAUGGGAUUAGAUAGUAGGUGGGGUAAAGGCUCACCUAGGGGACGAUCUCUAGCUGGUCUGAGAGGAUGAGCAGCAACACGUGGACUGAAACACGGCCCAGACUCCUACGGGGGCAGCAGUGGGGAAUAUUGAACAAUGGGCGAGAGCCUGAUGCAGCAAUGCCGCGUGUAUGAAGAAGGCCUUAGGGUUGUAAAGUACUUUCAGCGGGGAGGCGUUAACCGCAGAAGAAGCACCGGCGAACUACGAGCCAGAAGCCGCGGUAAUAC
rnacentral:rRNA from 1 species